AUUGAACGCUGGCGGCAGGCCUAACACAUGCAAGUCGAACGAGUGGCGGACGGGUGAGUAAUGUCUGGGAAACUGCCUGAUGGAGGGGGAUAACUACUGGACACUGUAGCUAAUACCGCAUACCAUCAGAUGUGCCCAGAUGGGUAUAGCUAGUUGGUGGGGUAACGGCGCACCAAGGCGAAGAUCCCUAGCUGGUCUGAGAGGAUGACCAGCCACACUGGAGCUGAGACACGGUCCAGACUCCUACGGGAGGCAGCAGUGGGGAAUAUUGGACAAUGGGCGCAAGCCUGAUGCAGCCAAGCCGCGUGGAAGAAGAAGGGCUUCGGGGUGUAAAGUACUUUCAGGGGGGAGGCGUUACCCGCAGAAGAAGCACCGGCUAACUCCGUGCCAGCAGCCGCGGUAAUAC
rnacentral:rRNA from 1 species